UCUUUAUUCAGUAUUUGUAUUUUCUUGUAUUUAAUUUAAUUAUUUUUACAUUCCUUAAAUGUAUUUUUUCUUACAAUUGUCCAGUUACAUAUGUUUCAGGAUGGAAUUUUUUCAUUUCUGAAAAAAUUCCAUCUUCGCCCCUGGACUGUACAAGACAUUUCAUAUUCUCACAUGGCGACAGGAAAGACUAGUAAUUAUUAAGAACUUGGUAUUUCAAUUGCCCUACUCUUGGUACCAUCAAACUGUCUUUCCUGCCGUCCAGUCUUUAAAGAUGGGUAGUUUGCUAACUCCUCCUCCUUCCAUAUGCUUUACUCGAGCGAAAACGGCGACGAGGAGCCAGGCAGCCCGGCCGUCAGGCAGACUCGUAGAGAGAGACACAGAGAGAAGAGAGCAGAGACCUCACUCACCUGGGAAGGUUCCUACAAUUUUGAUUCGUCCGACAUGCCUGUCUUAGGCUAAAGGCUUUUAUUGGGAUCCCUGGUCUACGUCAUCCUCUUGAGAAAAUUCUGCCAAAAUCCAUCUGCAACGCCUUUGUGCAUGGUUCGACAAUGGUGAUUUAGCUCUCGGACUAGUAACUCUAGCUUAUUCAUAAAUUCACCUUGUUAACGCUUGGGAUGGUGUUUGGUUUCGGUGUAUCGGCCCUUUUAUUUCCUUCCUGAUACUAAUGUAAACCUCAGUUGCUCAAUUGUAAGGUAAUUUUAAGUGGGUUAUUAUUCCUAUGGGUAUAUUUUUCUACAUAAAUGACCAUGACUUUUAGAUACUAAUCUUCCUGAAUAUUUCUUUACAGACAGCGAGCGAAGCAGAACGAAGGAAACGCCCUACGAUCUACGUGAAUUGCCUUGUUCUCUUACCAGUUGUUUAUAACUACGGUACUACGUCAUUUUAAAGGCUUAUUUAUGUAAUAAAUAUCAUAUUCAAUUACAUUUUUC